rnacentral:lncRNA from 1 species
AUAAUUAAAAAAAAUAUAGAAAAUAAAAGACUAAAAUUGAAAGGAGAAAAAAAGAAUGGAAAAACUACUUACAUCAAGGGAUGAACAUAUUUUUGCCCUUUUUAAAAAUUUUAGAAAUUACAGGCCAAUUUAUGUAGUUCUAAAAAAUAUUCAUGGUAAGCUAUUCACUUUCGCUCUAUCCUAGUACAGGUCAUUAUUAUAUGAAAAUUUCAGUUUAGGGGCCUAUUUGUAAAAAUUCUAUGGUUAUGUGCUCAAAAUGGUAUUUCCAAAGGCUUAAAGGCCGAUAUUGAUA